rnacentral:rRNA from 1 species
GACGAACGCCGGCGGCGUGCUUAACACAUGCAAGUCGAACGGAAAGGCCUCUUUCGGGGGGUACUCGAGUGGCGAACGGGUGAGUAACACGUGAGUAACCUGCCCUUGACUUUGGGAUAACUUCAGGAAACUGGGGCUAAUACCGGAUAGGAGCUCCUGCUGCAUGGUGGGGGUUGGAAAGUUUCGGCGGUUGGGGAUGGACUCGCGGCUUAUCAGCUUGUUGGUGGGGUAGUGGCUUACCAAGGCUUUGACGGGUAGCCGGCCUGAGAGGGUGACCGGCCACAUUGGGACUGAGAUACGGCCCAGACUCCUACGGGAGGCAGCAGUGGGGAAGAUUGCACAAUGGGUGGAAGCCUGAUGCAGCAACGCCGUGUGCGGGAUGACGGCCUUCGGGUUGUAAACCGCUUUCGCUCAUGACGAAGCUUUGUGUGACGGUAGUGGGUAAAGAAGCACCGGCUAACUACGUG